AUUGAACGCUGGCGGCGUGCCUAACACAUGCAAGUCGAGCGGUAACAGGUGUAGCAAUACAUGCUGACGAGCGGCGGACGGGUGAGUAACGCUUGGGAAUCUGCCUGUUAGUGGGGGACAACCCGGGGAAACUCGGGCUAAUACCGCAUACGCACUACGGUGGAAAGCCGGGGACCGCAAGGCCUGGCGCUAACAGAUGAGCCCAAGUCGGAUUAGCUAGUUGGUAGGGUAACGGCCUACCAAGGCGACGAUCCGUAACUGGUCUGAGAGGACGACCAGUCACACCGGAACUGAGACACGGUCCGGACUCCUACGGGAGGCAGCAGUGGGGAAUAUUGGACAAUGGCGAAAGCCUGAUCCAGCGACGCCGCGUGGGUGAAGAAGGCCUGCGGGUUGUAAAGCCCUUUCGGUGGGGAAGGAAAAGCCUCGAGUUAACACCUCGGGUCUUGACGUAACCCAUAGAAGAAGCACCGGCUAACUCUGUGCC
rnacentral:rRNA from 1 species